AUACAACUUCAUUUAAGAACCAAUCACUAGAAAGUAAAAGUAAGUUAUGAACUUGCUUUUUCAAUGCUGAUCUGAUAAUUUGGGCUUGAAGAGGUAGAAUUUCUGCUUGAAAGUUCAAACUCCCAGCUAGGAACAUAGAGACCAAAAAGCAAGCCAACCGAUAGUGCAGAAAGUAGUAAAGUGGCGAUCCUUCAGGUGAAUAGCAGAUAUUAUAUUAUAUCCAGUUACUUCUGUAACGACAAACGCACAAAUGGAAACAAAAUGGCGAACACAAAAAACAAUCAAACCACAAACAGAAAUGAAAGAACACACAGAUUUACGUGGAAAGCCCUUUGCAGGAAAAAACCACGGGCGAGAGAGGAGAGAACUUCACUAUCGAAAACGAAAGGGAAUACAAUAUUCUUCAGAUUACCACCAACCACGAUCACACACCUCUAGGGGAAAAAUGAAGAGAAAAUUCAUAACGGGUUUCGGAUCCGAUCCGUACCGCGGGGGGCUCCGCCCCCCGUACCCCCUGGCGAAUGUCAGUGGUGGGCUACGGGCUCGGGCCCAGGCCCUCCGCUACCCACCACGGACAUUCAUUUUUCCUUCACAAUUUAAUUUUCCAAUUUGGUCGCACCGCGAAGCUGUCGUCGAGUCGUAAACCCGAACCUAAGUCGAUAAUAGAUUUUGAGUCAUAUCUAACAACUUCAACCUCAAAAAAGGGUGGAUAUAUGAAUCUACUUUACACAUGAUGCAGAGUAACCAUUUACUAAGCUAGUCUAAGCACGAAAUGGAAGGGAUACAUUGCAAGGUAUUUUUUUGGUAGGGCAAACUUGGGCUGGAAAUGGAGACUAGAAUGAUUCACUCCCAUAUUGACGUUUUGGUUAGAGAAGUCAUUUUUCCAUUACCAUUCCUUGGUGGAACAGGCCCCAUAUCUUGAAUCCAGCUAUGGCAUGUAUGGAUGAUUAGUGUUUCGAUUCAAAAACAUAAGGAUUUGGAGGAAGAGAGGACGGAUGGGGACCUGAUGUAGAGAUCGGUGACGUCGAGGGAGAGCUGGGCGUGCUAGAGGGGAUUCUCGGCGAGCCACACGGCGCGGUCGUCGCGGCUCCGCCGGAACCCUAGAUGCCGCCGCCGAGA
rnacentral:lncRNA from 1 species